UCAUCGUCAUGUGUACUUUUACUUAUUUUUACAAGGUGGCAUCUUUAUGUUCCCAUAGGUUAGCUUUCUUCUUCUGUACAUCACACAACUGAUCAAUUGGGCCAUAUAUGUACAUCAUGCACUGCAAUCGCCCCACAACCAUACUUAAUCCGCACAGCAGCAUGGAUCGCACUGCACCAUUUGGGAUCAACGUGAUGCGAAGAAGGUUCAGAUGUUUGUACUUGAGAUAGCCUCCGGCAUUAUUGAGUGCAUCAAUUCGCUGGUCGUGACCAAGGAUUACAUUUACAUAGGCCUCGUCUGUCAGCCACAUGAUGAGCAACAGCAAUGCGGCCAUGGACGAUGGCAACGUGGACGAGUGCUGUGAUUCGAUUACGCAGCUGACCAGCGCUUCGUUUCAUCUGCACCAUCUGGUCAAGGGUCGGCCCAAGCGCGCUCCAACCCGCUGAUUAAUGCGCCGCUGGAUAUUGGUAAUGGCCUGGAGCACUUUUUCAGACCCGGCUAGGUCACGCCCACAACGCUGACCCCGUUGGUGUCGCCCACAUCCGAGGAUGUG